UACGGGGGGAGCAAGCGUUGUUCGGAUUUACUGGGCGUAAAGGGCGCGUAGGCGGCCACCGCAAGUCAGUUGUGAAAUCUCUGGGCUUGACCCAGAACGGUCAGCUGAUACUGCGGGGCUAGAGUGCAGAAGGGGCAACUGGAAUUCUCGAUGUAGCGGUGAAAUGCGUAGAUAUCGAGAGGAACACCUGCGGCGAAGGCGGGUUGCUGGGCUGACACUGACGCUGACAGCGCGAAAGCUAGGGGAGCGAACGGG
rnacentral:rRNA from 1 species